GGAAUAUUGCACAAUGGGCGAAAGCCUGAUGCAGCGAUGCCGCGUGAGGGAAGAAGGUUUUAGGAUUGUAAACCUCUGUCUUUGGGGACGAUAAUGACGGUACCCAAGGAGGAAGCUCCGGCUAACUACGUGCCAGCAGCCGCGGUAAUACGUAGGGAGCGAGCGUUGUCCGGAAUUACUGGGUGUAAAGGGAGCGUAGGCGGGAUUGCAAGUCAGGUGUGAAAUUUAGGGGCUUAACCCCUGAACUGCACUUGAAACUGUAGUUCUUGAGUGAAGUAGAGGUAAGCGGAAUUCCUAGUGUAGCGGUGAAAUGCGUAGAUAUUAGGAGGAACAUCAGUGGCGAAGGCGGCUUACUGGGCUUUAACUGACGCUGAGGCUCGAAAGCGUGGGGAGCAAACA
rnacentral:rRNA from 1 species